CAAGCUGUUAACAACUUGUAACAAGCUUGAUGGCAUUAUCAGCCUUGUCACAAGACUGUGCUAACAAGUUUGUUACAGCCAUGAUAUAACAAGGAUGUUACAAGGUUGACGACACAAGGUUGUAACAAUCUUGUUAUAUCAAGCAUGUAACAGACUUGUCAGAACAACCUUGCAACAAGUCUGAUAAUUUCGACAAGGUUGUUACAAGUUGUCAACAAGUUGUUCCAAACCUGUUGACAACUUGUGACAAGCAGUGCGAAUACAUCUUGUCGACUGCUUGCUGGCAGACUUGUUACAAGAUGUGAGAUUUUUACGGGUGUAGGUGAAGAAAGCAAGGCUGAGAUGGUGAUGAUACUUGAUAAGAUGAGAUGAAGGAGAGCUGGUCAAAGGCAUUAUCGAAUGAAGAGAUCAGAAGAAGAUGUGGG